rnacentral:rRNA from 1 species
UGCGUAGGCGGGUUAUUAAGUCAGUGGUGAAAGUCUGCGGCUCAACCGUAGGAGUGCCAUUGAUACUGGUAGUCUUGAGUACAGUAGAGGUAGGCGGAAUUUAUGGUGUAGCGGUGAAAUGCAUAGAUACCAUAAAGAACACCGAUAGCGAAGGCAGCUUACUAUACUGUAACUGACGCUGAGGCACGAAAGCGUGGGGAGCGAACA